GCUACAGAACGACGCUGGCGGCGUGCUUAACACAUGCAAGUCGAACGCGAACGGGGACUUCGGUCCCUAGUAGAGUGGCGCACGGGUGAGUAACGCGUAGAUAACCUAUCUUCCUGUCUGGAAUAAUACGCCGAAAGGAGUACUAAUACCGGAUACUCUUGCUUUUUCAUAAGUAUAGCAAGCAAAGGUGGCCUCUGUAUAUGCUACUGCAGGGAGAGGGGUCUGCGUACCAUUAGCUAGUAGGUGGGGUAAGGGCCUACCUAGGCUACGAUGGUUAGCGGGUCUGAGAGGAUGAUCCGCCACACUGGCACUGGAACACGGGCCAGACUCCUACGGAGGCAGCAGUGAGGAAUAUUGCGCAAUGGGGGCAACCCUGACGCAGCGACGCCGCGUGAGUGAGGAAGGCCUUCGGGUCGUAAAGCUCUGUCAAGAGGAAAGAAGUGCAUAGCGGUUAAUACCCGUUAUGUUUGACGGUACCUCUAAAGGAAGCACCGGCUAACUCCGUGCCAGCAGCCGC
rnacentral:rRNA from 1 species